rnacentral:lncRNA from 1 species
AGCUGGCUAUAAUUCACAAUGUAGUUGUGAAUUAGCAUGAACAAACUUUUGACUGAACAAGUAUUACAUAUGAACAAUAUAUAUCUGGACCAACUGGUAAUGAAGGUGAUCAGCCUUUCAUACCUGACUUAUACAUACAAGAUGUACAGAGUACAAUUCUACAUGGCAAUCAGCAAUGAUUAACCAUAAGCAUAUCUGAAUAAAACACUCUUAGUAGAGUUAAGUAGAACUUGCCUGAACCGUU